CAGGACGUGAGAAUAAAAUCCUUUUAAAGGCAUAUAGUGCUUCAUUGGUAUGUUUACAGAGAUUCAGAGAAGCAUGCGGUAUCACAGUCAGUCUAGUGAGAGUAGAACAUGGGAUUAUCUGUGUUGGGUGUCUUGAUGAAUUAACUUAUCUAAACUUUUGUGAUGCUAUAGUAAUAUAAUGGGACAUUUCCAUGAUUUAAAGGAACCCUCAAUGCUGUCUUUUUGCAUAUAUUGCAAAACACACCUUAAAAGAUUCUCUUCUAUUAUCAACAGUUUAACCCCGAGAUGAUUUUCUGGGCUACACUUAGUAACUACAAACACAGCAGCCCAAAGCCCGUCAUAACUGCCGCCACAGAGAAGAACUGCAGUUGCUGGGAAAAAAGACCAGAAAUAUACCAUCCAGGUGCCAGUGGUGAAUUCACAUGCCAGAGAGUAAGAAGACAUCUUAUUUUAAAUAUGAAGAUGAUUUUGAUCUACAUCAUCAUCGCAACUCCAGCAAUGACCGCUGUGCCACAAGGGUCUUCAGAAUGCAAUCUAACUGAACCUGGACCCCAGACGUGUUUUGGAGUUUUAGGAGAACCACUCGUUUUUUACAUACCUACUAAACCACAUAUGAAGACAAGCUUGAAAAAGAGUACAGAAAAAAUUUUAACCUUAAUAAAUGAUACAUUAAUUAGUCUCAAUGAAAAAUACAAGAAUCGUACUAUAUUUUUCCCAAAUGGAACAUUGAAACUCGAAAAAGCAACAAAAAAUGACUCUGGAGAGUACAGCAUGGAAACACACAGUUCUACUGACGGUGUGUUAUUGCACACAGUUAACAUCCAUCUACAUAUACUCGCUCCUGUGUCAGAACCAGCUGUUAUGCAGAUGUGUUUGUCACCAAAACAGAUGACAGUCAGCUGUUUCUCUGAAGGAGAUGAAGUAGAGCUCAUUUUGUCUUUGGAUGAUAAGUUGUUGAUACAGACUACAGCCAACAGUACAGAAAACAACAGCGUUUCAAAUGUUACCAUCAACUUACCUGGUCAGCUAAUGGGAAACCUGACAUGUGUUGCUCAAAACAAUGCCAGCAGAAAACAAACUAUCACCCACCUUACAAGCUGCACAGCUCCUGUGUCAGAACCAGCUGUUUUGCAGAUGUGUUUGUCACCACAACAGAUGACAGUCAGCUGCUCCUCUGAAGGAGAUGAAGUAGAGUUCACCUUGUUUUUGGAUGAUAACUUGUUGAUAAAAACCCAACCUAGCAUUGCAGAAAACCGCAACAUUUCAAAUGUUUCUAUCAGUUUACAUGGUCAGCUGCUGGGAAAGCUGAUGUGUAUCGUCCAAAACAAUAUAAGCAGAGAACAAACCAUCAUCCACCUUAUAAGCUGCACAGGUAAUAUAAAAAAAAUAUUACGUUCUGUUAUAUUUAAAUAGUGAUUUAUUUUAUUAUUUUAUUUAGUAUAGGUAUUUAUAGGAGUUUUUCUCAUUUUAAAUGAUUUAUUUUAUUUAUUUUAAAUGCUGAAGCAUAAAUUGGAAGUACGUAUGACUUGAAGACUCUUGGCUCUUGACGGAGCCGGUCGCACUUUCUCCUUCUCCCUCUCCCUUAUCUUUCCUGCUUGGCUUCUCAUGUCUGAGGUGUUUUUUCUGUUCUCAAACUGAUCUCCCUGUUGGAGCGCAGUCUGGGGUUCUUUUUUCUCCUUGUCUUUCCUCAUGUUGUGCAUUUUGCAUUGUUAUACCCCUCUGACCUGUCUUCCCCAUGUGAUGUAGUGUAAUGUAUGUAUGGUCGGAAGGGUAAGAUGGCCCUGGCAAAGGUCGGCAGCCUUAACCCAAUUUCCUUUGGGGUCAACCUUCGGGAUCAAUAAAGUUUUAUUGAAUUGAAUUGAACAUUGUAGCCCAGUAAACUAUAUUUACAUUAUUUCAGUAAUUUCUUCUUAAUGGUUUUAAUUUCUAGGUAAUAUUUCUGACCACUGCAUUGUGACUGUGGCUGUGGUAGUAAGCGCUGUUGCCAUUCUACUCAUUCUGGCUGUGUUUCUUGGUAUCCGGAAAUUCAAAAACACAACUGGCAUUAUGACUGUUAAUGAAGAUGAAGCUGAAGAGGACGUUGUCUACUCAGAUAUUAGACUGAAGCAGCUUGCAAGAGAAUCAAGAGAAACACCACCUAUUUCAAAUCAAGAUGAAAGUUAACAUUCUCCUAAACAGUCUGACAUUCUGAAACCUAAACCCUAACAUGUUGACUUUCAGUCAACUGUCUAAUAAAACUAUGGCACUUUAGCAAUUCCAUCUUUGCAGUGAACGUGAAGGUAAACAUAUUUAACAAGUACUCACUGGAUUAUUAAUUUUGAAGGAAACAUAAAGGGGGGGAAAGUUAUUUAGAAGGCAUUUGAUAUACAUGAAAUACUUAUUUAUACUUAUUUAUAAAUGCUUUAUAUUUGAACUACAUUUUAUUUGACAUAAUUUAAAUAAACUACAUCAACCUUGUAAAGGUUCUAACCAACAUUUAACCUUGGAGAUUAAAUAAAAGGCUUUGAUCAGUGAUGGUGCUUUCCUUGUGUUGUGUUAAGCAGACGUGGGCUGUUCAUUUUGUUUGAGAUAAAAACAUCAGGGCUACUUUUUCCUGUGUUGUCAUGACAUUAAAACCACAAACUAUAUCCUGUUUUCACUGAGCUGCUAAACCUCUAAACCAU
ensembl:lncRNA